UGGAUGAUGACUCCUUUGGAUGACGUGCCGUGAUCUGAUUCUUGUUCCCUUGGUUGUCUGAC
rnacentral:snoRNA from 1 species